GGGGGGAGGCCGGGUCCUGGGCUGUGUCCCGGCGCCCUGUGCUCCGGGGCCUGCGCUGGUGGAUUCGCACUCCCGCCCCGCAGCCCCCU
rnacentral:pre_miRNA from 1 species